UUACCGAGGCUGCUGGCACGUAGUUAGCCGGUGCUUCUUAUGCGGGUACCGUCAUCAACACGCUAUGUUAGAGCGUGCCAUUUCUUCCCCGCCGAAAGAGCUUUACAACCCGAAGGCCUUCUUCACUCACGCGGCAUGGCUGGAUCAGGCUUGCGCCCAUUGUCCAAAAUUCCCCACUGCUGCCUCCCGUAGGAGUCUGGGCCGUGUCUCAGUCCCAGUGUGGCGGAUCAUCCUCUCAGACCCGCUACGGAUCGUCGCCUUGGUAGGCCUUUACCCCACCAACUAGCUAAUCCGACAUCGGCCGCUCCGAAAGCGCAAGGUCUUGCGAUCCCCUGCUUUCCUGCUCACAGAAUAUGCGGUAUUAGCGUAACUUUCGCUACGUUAUCCCCCACUUCCGGGUACGUUCCGAUGCAUUACUCACCCGUUCGCCACUCGCCAUCAGGUGCAAGCACCCAUGCUGCCGUUCGACUUGCAUGUGUAAGGCAUGCCGCCAGCGUUCAAUCUGAGCCAGGAUCAAACUC
rnacentral:rRNA from 1 species